rnacentral:ncRNA from 1 species
GACUAAGCCGUGGCUUAGUUUCAGAACGUAGACAAAACCAAAAUCUAUUUAAACAAAUUAAAAAGUUCUGCUCACUUAACAUGAUUUUUCGAUUUUCGCGAGCGGAGCGAGCCUCAUCAGAUACUUUUCGCUGUGGUAAAAGUAGCGUCACGACCUGUCAUGACGCUACUCGGAAAUUUUGAGACCUCAGGCUCAAAAUUUAGGUAUGGAAUUCCGGUAGGAAGUCGCUACCGUCCGCACCACCUAAGAAAAGUGUCACAAAAAAAUUUUUUCUUCAAUCUGAGACUAAGCCGUGGCUUAGUCUU